UACGGAGGGUGCAAGCGUUAUCCGGAUUCACUGGGUUUAAAGGGUGCGUAGGUGGGUAUGUAAGUCAGUGGUGAAAUCUCCGUGCUUAACAUGGAAACUGCCAUUGAUACUAUGUUUCUUGAAUUUUCUGGAGGUCAGCGGAAUAUGUCAUGUAGCGGUGAAAUGCUUAGAUAUGACAUAGAACACCAAUUGCGAAGGCAGCUGGCUACAGGGAUAUUGACACUGAGGCACGAAAGCGUGGGGAUCAAACAGG
rnacentral:rRNA from 1 species